GCUUCCGAACAACAUGAUACGAAACCCAGCAAUUUUUUUUAUUUUUUUUUUUGAUAUUUUUAUUUUAGUUAGGAGCACCGUAGGAGUAACCACAGAGAAUUUGAGCUUAAACAAGUUUAAGACAUGGCCUGCGGAAUUUUUUGAAGAUUGUGAAAAAUGUGAAAAAAAACUUCACGAGGUGAAAACUCAAACUUUGGAGGUGAAUUUUGAGGUUCAAAAAUUUUCAAACCCGCCAAUGGAGGGGACAGACAGAUCCAAAAAAAAAUUUUGGAUCGAUUUGAUAUAUGGAACGUUGAAAUCAAAGUUCGUAUGCGAAAGUUAUGGCUAUUUUACGAACGGACUACGAAUUAGAGGACAAAACAGUCUGAAAGUGGGAAAAAUUUGCGGUGGUGGCUAAAAAUUGAUGGAAACGGUAGGGAAAAUACACACGAACUGGACUCUAAUAAGAUCUAACCAGCAACAAGACCUCAACAAGAACACAAACUCAACACUGCGGACUCUGAAACUAAAAUAUGCAAAGGCUAUGGCGCGAAAGGGUUGUAGGACACGAAAACGAAAAAGCACUGGACUUAUGGUACGAACACAAGAACACUCGAAACUAAGGGUUGAUGUGAACCUAACGAUAUACCUAAUGCUUUUAUUACCACUUGAUGAGAACAAGGGUGACCUGAUCUUCAAAAAGGUUCUGGUAUCUCUCUAUUUGGUGCAGACGAGACACAAAUCGAUCCGGCUUCCGAACAACAUGAUACGAAACCUUGCAAUUUUUUUUAUUUUUUUAAUAUUUUGCUUUUAGUUAGGAGCACCGUAGGAGUAACCACAGAAAAUUUGAGCUUAAACAAGUGAAAGACAUGGCCUACGGAAUUUUUUGAAGAUUGUGAAAAAUGUGAAAAAAACAUCAUGAGGUGAAAACUCAAACUUUGGAGAUGAAUUUUCAGGUUCUAAAAUUUUCAAACCCGCCAAUGGAGGGGACAGACAGAUCCAAAAAGAAUUUUGUAUCAAUUUUCAUAUAUGGAACGUUGAAAUCGGAGUUCAUAUGUGAAAGUUAUGGCUAUUUUACGAACGGACUACGAAUUAGAGGACAAAACAGUCCGAAAGUGGGAAAAAUUUGCGGCGGUGGCUAGAAAUUGAUGGAAACGGUGGUGAAAAACACACGAACUGGACUCUAACAAAGACCUCGACUAGGACACAAACUCAACACUGCGGACUCUGAAACUGAAAUAUGCAAAGGCUAUGGCGCGGAAGGGUUGUAGGACAGGAAAAUGAUAUGGUACUGGACUUAUGGGACGAACACAAGAACACUCCAAACUAAGGGUAGAUGUGAACCUAAUGUUAUACCUAAAGCUCUGAUUACCACUUGAUGAGAACAAGGGUGGCCCGAUCUUCUGAAAGGUUCUACUAACUCUCGAUUUGGUGGAGACGAGACACAAAUCGAUCCGGCUUCCGAACAACAUGAUCCGAAACCCUACAUUUUUUUUAUUUUUUUGAUGUUUUUCUUUUAGUUAGGAGCACCAAAGAAGUAACCACAUAAAAUUUGAGCUUAAACAAGUGAAAGACAUGGCCUGUGGAAUUAUCUGAAGAUUGUGAAAAAUGUGAAAAAACUUCACGAGGCGAAAACUCAAACUUUGGAGGUGAAUUUGCAGGUUCUAAAAUUUUCAAACCCACCAAAAGCUAGGACACACAGAUCCAAAAUUUUUUUCUGAUCGAUUUUGAUAUAUGGAACGUUAAAAUCGGAGUUCGUAUGUGAAAGUUAUGACUAUUUUACGAACGGACUCCGAAUUAGAGGAAAAAACGGUCUGAAAGUGGGAAAAAUUUGCGGUGGUGGCUAGAAAUUGAUGGAAACGGUGGGGAAAAGCACACGAACUGGACUCUAAUAAGACCUAACCAGUAACAAGACCUCAACAAGAACACAAACUCAACACUGCAGACUCUGAAACUGAAAUAUGCAAAGGCCAUGGCGCGAAAGGGUUAGGACACGAAAACGAAAUAGCACUGGACUUAUGGUACGAACAGAAUAACACUCAAAACUAAGGGUAGAUGUGAACCUAACGGUAUACCUAAUGCUUAUAUUACCACUUGAUGAGAAGAAGCGUGACCUGAUCUUCCAAAAGGUUCUGGUAUCUAUCGAUUUGGUGCAGACGAGACACAAAUCGAUCCGGCUUCCGAACAACAUGAUACGAAACCCUGCAAUUUUUUUUAUUUUUUUUGAUAUUUUUAUUUUAGUUAGGAGGACCGUAGGAGUAACCACAGAGAAUUUGAGCUUAAACAAGUUUAAGACAUGGCCUGCGGAAUUUUUUGAAGAUUGUGAAAAAUGUGAAAAAAAACUUCACGAGGUGAAAACUCAAACUUUGGAGGUGAAUUUUGAGGUUCAAAAAUUUUCAAACCCGCCAAUGGAGGGGACAGACAAAUCCAAAAAAAAUUUUUGGAUCGAUUUGAUAUAUGGAACGUUGAAAUCAAAGUUCGUAUGCGAAAGUUAUGGCUAUUUUACGAACGGACUACGAAUUAGAGGACAAAACAGUCUGAAAGUGGGAAAAAUUUGCGGUGGUGGCUAAAAAUUGAUGGAAACGGUAGGGAAAAUACACACGAACUGGACUCUAAUAAGACCUAACCAGCAACAAGACCUCAACAAGAACACAAACUCAACACUGCGGACUCUGAAACUAAAAUAUGCAAAGGCUAUGGCGCGAAAGGGUUGUAGGACACGAAAACGAAAAAGCACUGGACUUAUGGUACGAACACAAGAACACUCGAAACUAAGGGUUGAUGUGAACCUAACGAUAUACCUAAUGCUUUUAUUACCACUUGAUGAGAACAAGGGUGACCUGAUCUUCAAAAAGGUUCUGGUAUCUCUCUAUUUGGUGCAGACGAGACACAAAUCGAUCCGACUUCCGAACAACAUGAUACGAAACCUUGCAAUUUUUUUAUUUUUUUAAUAUUUUGCUUUUAGUUAGGAGCACCGUAGGAGUAACCACAGAAAAUUUGAGCUUAAACAAGUGAAAGACAUGGCCUACGGAAUUUUUUGAAGAUUGUGAAAAAUGUGAA
rnacentral:lncRNA from 1 species